GCUUCUGUUGCCUGCACAAGUCUUCAGUGCAGCUGGUGACUUUCUGGUGCGCUAGAAGAAUGAAUGAUAAGUCAAGUAUCUGCUAAGCAAGGGAGAAAGGAAAGGGGGCCUUAAAAUUCACAUCGAGCGGCUGGCACUGUGGCGUAGCCAGUGAAGCUGUCGCCUGCAGUACCAGCUCCCAUAUGGGCACUGAUUCAAGUCCUGUCAGCUCCACUUGUGAUCCAGCUCUCUGUUAUGGCCUGGGAAAGAGUAGAGGAUGGCCAAAAGUCCUUGGGCUCCUGCACUUGCAUGGGAGACCUGGAAGAAACUCCUGGCUUCGGAUCAGCGCAGCUCCAGCCAUUGUGGCCAAUUGGGGAGUGAACCAACGGAUAGAAAAUCUUUCUCUCUGUCUCUCCUCCUCACUGUCUGUAACUCUAACUUUCAAACAAAUAAAUAAAAUAUUAAAAAAUUA